AAGAAAUACAGUAAGGUCUUUCCCUUUAGUAAAAGGAAAGACCUUAAUAAUAAUCAGAAGAAAUACAGUAAGGUCUUUCCCUUUAGUAAAAGGAAAGACCUUAAUAAACAGAAAUAAGAAGGUCUUUCCCUUAAUUAAACUGUCAAUUGUUCUUGAACAAUUGAGAGGUCUUUCCUUUUGUAAUGUAAAAUACAUGUUCCAAUAGACGUAGAAUGUAUUGAAAAG
rnacentral:lncRNA from 1 species